GCCGCCCUAGCUCAGCGGUAGAGCACCGCUUUCGUAAAGCGGGGGUCGUGGGUUCAAAUCCCACGGGCGGCU
rnacentral:tRNA from 1 species